UGUUUUUCGAGGUUGCUCAUUGUACUUGAGGUGUGGAGAGAGAGCCGCGAGUGGAUUGCUCCAACCGCUGCAUUGCGAGUGCGGGCACGUUUGGAAAUGGACGGGUUGAAAAUUAGUCAGAUGACUGGGCCAAAGGCGCAGCCGCCAGCCUCGGAGGACAUGCGGAAGGGACGCCAACUUGGAUACCUGAGAUGUGUGGUGUACCUGAAGAGCUGAUGUCUGAUGUCACGUUGCACCACAAGGUGGAGGUGAGUGUGCCCGCCUGUCUCUCACUCAACUUCAACUUCUGCUACGUGUACUGCACAACAGUGUCAACUCCACAUAGACAACCCGAGCAUCAUCAAGCACUUCUGGUUGUUUGUUUUUAUGUUUUUAAACCUUGAAAUGGCCCAAGUUAGUUUAAAAAUGUGUCUGUACGCUUGUAUAAAUAUAUACAUCCAUGUGACUAACUUGGCCCACUUCAAUGUCAUUUAAAAACUUGACCAGAAGAGUGUGAUCAUGUUGUUGUGGAGUACACGGCAGUUAGUUUUUGUCUCGGUGAGAGAAGUCAGACGUGCUCAUGUACCCCGUGGUGUGUCAUGAGAUGUCAGUGACAGCAGGCAUGAGCCGGUCAAACACAUGCUCCCAUCGUCGUCGUCAGUGUUUGUGUGCGUGCAACUUGAACUGGCCCACACAAAGAUUUACUGGUCAAAUGCUUUUACAUUGUCUUGUUCACUUUUCUGUACAAUAAAUUGUUCAACUUGAA